AGCCCAACAGCUAGCCUCCUAACCUAAAAUCACAUUUUACCUAUUUGUAACCCCUAAUACACCACCCCCUCCCACCAAACCAUUUUUCCGCCCAAGUAUGUGCGACAGAAAAGGAUACUGUGAGCGCCAUAGAAAAAGUACCGCAAGGGAACGCUGAAAGAGAAAUGAAAAAACUCAGUCAAGCAUAAAAAAGCAGAGCCAAAAACUCGUACCUUUUGCAUCAUGAAUUAGCAAGUCCCUUCAAGCAAAAAGUCUUUUAGUUUGAUACCCCGAAACUUGACGAGCUACUCCAAGGCAGCCUAAUAAUAGGGCCAACCCGUCUCUGUGGCAAAAGAGUGGGAAGAACUUCGAGUAGAGGUGAUAGACCUACCGAGUCUAGUUAUAGCUGGUUGCCUGGGAAAUAAAUAGAAGUUUAGCCUCUUACCUUCUUCCCUCAUCUCUGGCUUGCCCUAAACCCAGAAGACAAGAAAGUAAAAGAGUUAUUCAAAGGGGGUACAGCCCCUUUGAAAAAAGAAACAACUUUUGGAGGUGGAUUCUAAACAAAUUUUUAAAGGUACAUAUUUUGGUGGGCCUAAAAGCAGCCAUCCUAAAAGAAAGCGUUAAAGCUCAAAUAUAAUCUUUACCACUUAUUCCGUUAAUUAAUUACAUUCCCCUAAAAUUACCAGGCCUUCCUAUUUAACCAUAGGAAAGAUUAUGCUAAUAUGAGUAAUAAGAGAUAUGACUCUCUCCUCGCACAUGUGUAAAUCGGAACGGACCCCCCACCGAUAAUUAACGGCCCUAACCCAAGAAGGAAUUAGAGUAAAAAAAAAUAACAAGAAAGACCUCUAUGCCCACACCGUUAAACCUACACUGGAGUGCCCACCCGGAAAGACUAAAAAGAGAAGAAGGAACUCGGCAAACACUAACUAAGCCUCGCCUGUUUACCAAAAACAUCGCCUCUUGAAAACCGCCAAUAAGAGGUCCCGCCUGCCCUGUGACUAAUGUUUAACGGCCGCGGUAUCUUGACCGUGCAAAGGUAGCGCAAUCACUUGUCUUUUAAAUGAAGACCUGUAUGAAUGGCUAAACGAGGGCUUAACUGUCUCCUUCUCUUGGUCAAUGAAAUUGAUCUCCCCGUGCAGAAGCGGGGAUAAAUACAUAAGACGAGAAGACCCUAUGGAGCUUUAGGCACAAUGACAGAUCAUGUUAAAAACCCUCUACUAAGAGAUAAAACCCAUUGAAACCUGUCCUGAUGCCUUUGGUUGGGGCGACCGCGGGGCACCAAAAAACCCCCGAGUGGAAUGAAAAUACCUUCUUCUUAAACCCAAGAGCCACAGCUCUAAGCAACAGAAUUUCUGACCUUACAGAUCCGGCACCGCCGAUUAACGGACAGAGUUACCCUAGGGAUAACAGCGCAAUCCCCUUCUAGAGCCCAUAUCGACAAGGGGGUUUACGACCUCGAUGUUGGAUCAGGACAUCCUAAUGGUGCAGCCGCUAUUAAGGGUUCGUUUGUUCAACGAUUAAAGUCCUACGUGAUCUGAGUUCAGACCGGAGUAAUCCAGGUCAGUUUCUAUCUAUGAAGUGUUCUUUUCUAGUACGAAAGGACCGAAAAGAAAAGGCCCCUGCCCAAGCAUGCCUCCCCCUGACCUGAUGACACCAACUGAAUCAGAUAAAAGGGCACCCGCAUACCGCUAAAGAUAACAGCCC
rnacentral:rRNA from 1 species